rnacentral:rRNA from 1 species
AUGGGUGAUUUUAAUGAAAUUUUGUAUUCCUAUGAGAAAGAAGGGGGAAAUGCUAGAUCAAAUACAGUGAUGAGAGAAUUUCGUAAUUGUUUGAGAGAGUGCGGUUUGGAGGACAUGGGAUACAUUGGAGAUCCUUUCACUUGAAGGAGAGGCAAAAUAAGGGAGAGACUCAACCGUGCUGUAUGUAAUUUAGAAUGGGCAAACAAAUUUCCCAAAGCCGCAAUCAUAAACGAAGAACAUGUACACUCUCAUCAUCGGCCCCUCAUCUUGGGCACGGAAAUUUUUGAUGGAAAUUUAUUUAACCGUCCGCGGGGUCGAGUGAAAUAG